ACUUGGGCUUUGGAGCCAGAUAGAACUGGAUUGGAACCCAAACUCCCCCCUUAGUUUGCUAGCUCUGUGGUCAUAGAAAAGUCAUUCCCCUCUUCAGCCUUGGUUUUUCUCAUUUGUAAAACAGAGACAAUAGCUCUUUCUCAGGAUUGUUGUGGAGACUCAAGAUAAAAUAUGCAAAUCACCUGGCACAUGGCCGGCACAUGACAAGUGGGGCCACUAUUAUUAUUGCCUCUCCUAUCCAAACUGCUCCCGACAUGAACAGAACCCCUCGGUCCUCGGCAAGCUGGGCUGUUGUUGGUGAAAUCUCCUACCAUUCUCCAGUUGUGACUCCUUUUUGAAAAUGCAGAAGCUGAGGUCCAGGACAGGCAAGUCCCUUGCCCAUGUUCACGAAGCUAGAAGGAGCUUCCCAUCCUGUAAAGUCAGACAAAAGUCUGAUGCACAGUAGGCCUUCAACACCAAUUCGUAUUGAACUGAGUCCAUCCAUGAGGGAUGGUUAUGCCAGGAAAAGGUGACUGCUUGGUGCAUGGUUCCAAGGGCUCUGUUUCGGCUUCUUGCCAGCCUGAGGUCCUGCAGCUAUCCUUUUCAUUUCGGAUCAACCAAGGAAAGAUAACUCAUUAGUUAAUUCAUUCCAUAAAUACCUACUGAGCACCUACAGGCACUGUACAGAAAACAGCAAACAGAGAGUCCUAAUCCUGCUCUUAUAGAGUUUAUGGCCCAUCAGAGGAAACAGACAUCAAAAACUCAAGUAAUUCUUUUUUUUUUUUUUCAAGUAAUUCUUAAAGUAAGUAUUUGUUAUGGGCUGAAUUGU